rnacentral:lncRNA from 1 species
GGGGGAUGGGUAGCUGCACAGAACUGGGGGCAAAGGCGGAGAGAACAAACAGAGAGUUUCAUGGCUUCUAUUAUGUUUGCUAAGGUCAUCAGGAAAUCGGAAGUGAUCAGCAUUCUAUAGACCUCGUACUUCUCAUUACAAUAUGGCCCCUUAAAGAACCCCGAAAAAACAAUACAACCCCUUCAUCUGAGGUUUUCUUUCCAUGGUUUCAGUGACCUGUGGUCUGCUGCGGUCUGGAAGCAGAUGAUCCUCCUUGUGAAAACAGAAGGUCCAUAGUGGCCUAAGGCUGCGUCACGAUGCUUGCAUGAUUCAUAUCACGUCUUCUCACCUCAGAGGCAUUUUGUCGUCUUACAUCACCACAGCAAGAAGGAUCGAAGCAACUCUCCCCGAUUUGACAUCCUCAAAAAAUACGAACUUCUCUCCACAAUUUUACCAAGUGAAAAAAACGUUCACUUGGCCUUUGACUAUUGCUGAAACAGGUACUCUGGGAUUUUCAAGAGUGGUUUUCAGAGGAGAUGGAGAGAUGGACCCUCUUGUGCUUGCCAAGGCACCUGAGCAUUUGGAGGUUUUCCUUCUGGUUUUGUGCAGGUUUUAUUUUUUUCCCCCGUGCUCAUUCAUCACCAUGGAUGCUAUGCUUGGAGAGCAAGGGGUUUCGGUUGCAAAACUUGCUUCCUGUUAAUUCUUCUACUCCUGAA